UACAGAGGUCUCAAGCGUUUGUUCGGAUUCAUUGGGCGUAAAGGGUGCGUAGGUGGCGUCGUAAGUCGGGUGUGAAAUUUCGGAGCUUAACUCCGAAACUGCAUUCGAUACUGCGGUGCUUGAGGACUGGAGAGGAGACUGGAAUUUACGGUGUAGCAGUGAAAUGCGUAGAGAUCGUAAGGAAGACCAGUGGCGAAGGCGGGUCUCUGGACAGUUCCUGACACUGAGGCAACGAAGGCCCAGGGGAGCAAACGGG
rnacentral:rRNA from 1 species